GCCCAAGAGAUCGGGAUAACACCUGGAAACAGAUGCUAAUACCGGAUAACAACAGAUGAUGCCUAUCAACUGUUUAAAAGAUGGUUCUGCUAUCACUCUUGGAUGGACCUGCGGUGCAUUAGCUAGUUGGUAGGGUAACGGCCUACCAAGGCGAUGAUGCAUAGCCGAGUUGAGAGACUGAUCGGCCACAUUGGGACUGAGACACGGCCCAAACUCCUACGGGAGGCAGCAGAG
rnacentral:rRNA from 1 species